rnacentral:lncRNA from 1 species
UCUUGUUCUGCCCCUCUGUUGGCACGGCCUGCAUGAAGUUCUCCUCUCCAUGCCUCUCUGCCUCUCUCUCUCUGUUGGCAGAGCCUGCAUGGGGUUCUCCUCUCCAUUCCUCUAUGUCUCUGCCCCUCUCUCUCUGUUGGCAGAGCCUGCAUGGGGUUCUCCUCUCCAUUCCUCUCUGCCUCUCUCUCUCUGUUGGCAGAGCCUGCAUGAGGUUCUCCUCUCCAUUCCUCUCUGCCUCUCUCUCUCUGUUGGCAGAGCCUGCAUGGGGUUCUCCUCUCCAUUCCUCUCUGCCCCUCUCUCUCUGUUGGCAGAGCCUGCAUGGGGUUCUCCUCUCCAUUCCUCUAUGUCUCUGCCCCUCUCUCUCUGUUGGCAGAGCCUGCAUGGGGUUCUCCUCUCCAUUCCUCUCUGUCUCUGCCCCUCUCUCUCUGUUGGCAGAGCCUGCAUGGGGUUCUCCUCUCCAUUCCUCUCUGCCCCUCUCUCUCUGUUGGCAGAGCCUGCAUGGGGUUCUCCUCUCCAUUCCUCUAUGUCUCUGCCCCUCUCUCUCUGUUGGCAGAGCCUGCAUGGGGUUCUCCUCUCCAUUCCUCUCUGCCUCUCUCUCUCUGUUGGCAGAGCCUGCAUGGGGUUCUCCUCUCCAUUCCUCUCUGCCCCUCUCUCUCUGUUGGCAGAGCCUGCAUGGGGUUCUCCUCUCCAUUCCUCUCUCUCUCUGCCCCUCUCUCUCUGUUGGCAGAGCCUGCAUGGGGUUCUCCUCUCCAUUCCUCUAUGUCUCUGCCCCUCUCUCUCUGUUGGCAGAGCCUGCAUGGGGUUCUCCUCUCCAUUCCUCUCUGCCUCUCUCUCUCUGUUGGCAGAGCCUGCAUGGGGUUCUCCUCUCCAUUCCUCUCUGCCCCUCUCUCUCUGUUGGCAGAGCCUGCAUGGGGUUCUCCUCUCCAUUCCUCUCUGUCUCUGCCCCUCUCUCUCUGUUGGCAGAGCCUGCAUGGGGUUCUCCUCUCCAUUCCUCUAUGUCUCUGCCCCUCUCUCUCUGUUGGGCAGAGCCUGCAUGGGGUUCUCCUCUCCAUUCCUCUCUGCCCCUCUCUCUCUGUUGGCAGAGCCUGCAUGGGGUUCUCCUCUCCAUUCCUCUAUGUCUCUGCCCCUCUCUCUCUGUUGGCAGAGCCUGCAUGGGGUUCUCCUCUCCAUUCCUCUAUGUCUCUGCCCCUCUCUCUCUGUUGGCAGAGCCUGCAUGGGGUUCUCCUCUCCAUUCCUCUCUGCCUCUCUCUCUCUGUUGGCAGAGCCUGCAUGGGGUUCUCCUCUCCAUUCCUCUCUGUCUCUGCCCCUCUCUCUCUGUUGGCAGAGCCUGCAUGGGGUUCUCCUCUCCAUUCCUCUCUGUCUCUGCCCCUCUCUCUCUGUUGGCAGAGCCUGCAUGGGGUUCUCCUCUCCAUUCCUCUAUGUCUCUGCCCCUCUCUCUCUGUUGGCAGAGCCUGCAUGGGGUUCUCCUCUCCAUUCCUCUCUGCCUCUCUCUCUCUGUU